AUACGGAGGGUGCAAGCGUUGUUCGGAAUCACUGGGCGUAAAGGGCGCGCAGGCGGUUUGGUAAGUCAGAUGUGAAAGCCCACGGCUCAACCGUGGAAGUGCAUUUGAAACUGUCAGACUUGAGUACUAGAGGGGAGAGUGGAAUUCCCGGUGUAGAGGUGAAAUUCGUAGAUAUCGGGAGGAAUACCGGUGGCGAAGGCGACUUUCUGGCUAGAUACUGACGCUGAGGCGCGAAAGCGUGGGGAGCAAACAGGAUUAGAAACCCCAGUAGUCC
rnacentral:rRNA from 1 species